GUACUAGAGUCUGUGCAACCGAGAAACGCUGUGUCAUUGUCUUGUAGUGUCAUUGCACACACAUCUUUACACUUGGCACAUGGGAGCAGAUGAGCUGGACUUCAAGACUAACUCCUAAAGGAAGCAUUAGAGCUGAACUAUGCUGUGACUAUUAUUCUCUGCACUGCGCAAUGCCGCUGAAUGCAUAGUCUCCUGCUGUGGCUCCUCAAAGAAGGACAGGACAUCAGCAGGAUGCCCAUACCAGUAUAAAGGGCAGAACGUGUGGACAGUCUCAAAUGAUGGAACAAAAUCCACUCAAAAUCAUCCCUAAUUGCUCCCAGCAGAGUGGACAGAAGAGAUGCACAUUUCCCCACCACCCGAUUUACCUCUCAAGCGUAUUUACUUGAUCUUUUUUGCUCUGUGCUUGUUUUAAUGAUGACUUGUCCUAAAACUCCUGGUUGGGAAGUUGGAUGAUGUCUGACAGCUGACAAGUGCAGCAGUGGCUCAGAAGUGGCUUACAAUUUCCUGUAUGUACCAAUCAUUUAUAUGGUAUGAAAGUGGCCAGCACAGCAAAUUAAACCUGAGAAUUGAAUAAAUUGGUUGUCAAAAUCA